rfam:Beta vulgaris subsp. vulgaris chromosome 6, whole genome shotgun sequence.
UCGUAAGCCAAUUGAGGACAUAUAAAGUGCACGUGGCAGUCUAUAGCCCCAGCAGUAACAAUCAUUCCUUCUCCAGCAAUCACCUCAGUAUUGACCUGAUAUAUUUAAGAAUCGAUCUCAAAUGCAUUAUGUGAUAUGUACUAUGUACUUGGAUAGCUGGAGCAAAACAGGAAAAAAGGAAACAAUAAUUCAAGUAAUAAACACAUGGUGGACAUCAUUACCCCGAUGAUCAUGUUUGCUGACACACCAUCCAUUAUAUCUGGAUUUCCUGAUUUUCCAAGGCCAGCGAUGAGGCCUCCCUUAAUACCGAUAUCUGCCUUAAAGAUUCCAGUGUAAUCAAUGAUCAUGGCAUUAGUAAUAACAGUAUCCAGACAGACAGCUGCUGGGUACCCAGAAGACUGGCCCAUUCCAUCCCUUAA